AUUAAACAACUUAACCGACUCUGAGGUGAAGAAAAUAACUUGGUGCUCAGUCUGUUUCACCUCAAAAACCCUGCGCCCGCUCAGCGUGUUGGACAGCGAUGUCUUUACCCGGAGCUAACAGUGCAGCAGAGAGGCUGCUCUCCACUAAACUGUGGAGAUAAUAAAACAGUAGCGUUAACUCAAACCCUGUGCAGACCUACUUUUUUUCCACACAGAAAAUUGAUUCGAUAAUGAAUGAUAAUCGAUAAGGGAAUUGAUAAAGAAUUGGACUGAUAAGCAGAAUCCAUAUUGGCAUCGGUAUCAAUAAAAUCUCAACAAUUCCCAUCCCUACUGUAGACGUGAUGUCAGCCCUUGCCAGCCCAUGUAUUGCAUCUUAGCAUACACAGUAUAACAAUUUUCAGCAUAUGCUAUAAACUACACUGUGUGUGUAUUAACAACAGAGAUGAAGACAUCCUGUGAGGAACCGAAGGAUUAGCAGAAGAUGUUCUACUGCAACAGCUGGGAACAAGGCUGUCAUGGUGUUUUGCACCAUGUUACCUGCCACCACUGAACGCUGCCCAAGAGCCACAGCAACAUCUGGACUGAGCAAGACUGCACAUCAGACCCUGAUCUGUGGCUGAGGGAUGUGGAAAAGUUUUUGCCUUUAAAAUCAACUGCAGAACUGGAGUCAACAUCUUGAUGUACACUUCCAAGAAACCUGGAUCAUAACCAUCAUGUCCACAGGCCAGCAAUGACAAACCAGGAUGACUUUUUGCUAUGGGGAAUAUGACUUGGCUGCAGCUGGAAGAAAAAUUUCAGUCAAAAGAUUGCGGGUUUUUUUGGGGGGGUUUUUUGUAAUCCUUGUUUCUAACUUGCUACAAUAUAUUUUUGAACGUAGGUGAUGUAGAUUCUGAUAUGUGGGUUGAUGAAUCUGAUGUGUUUAUAUAUAAGAUGUAUGUUUGAUAUUUGUGAUGUCUUUGGUGUAUUGUUUUUUGAAGUAUGGCUUUCGUAUUACUAUUUUUUUUCUAUCUACUUUUUUCUAUGUACUUAAUUGAAUUGCUAAUUGUUUUGGGUUGUUUAUCACCCUGGGCAGUUUGGAUGGUUAACCACACCUGCCAUCAUAAAGCUUGUCAGCUCAUUGGUGUGCAUGAUGUAUGGAUAUGUGUGUGUAUUCCAUUUUUAAAACUGACCUGACGAAGAUCCAAGUAAGAUAGAAAUCAUUAAACUUGUGUGGCUUGGAGUAAGUGUGCAGGCAUUACCUUUUUUUCAUUGAUGCUGUUUUGUGAUAGCCUUGCACCUACGUGAUGUGUGCAUAAUUACUCUCUUUCAACAAAGUUUUAGGCAGAACCAGUCAACCCAAGCCAAAUGUUGCCAACUUAUUGGUUUGGUACAUUAGUAAACCGCGGGGAUGUGUUGCUUUUUCACAGUGAUAAGAAAAAAUCCAUACCGCCACAGCCCUAGUUCCUAUAGCCCGAUCCAUUUUCAAUUCAGUUAAUGCUUGACAAACACUUCGAGUUAAGCUGUUACAAUGACAAAUCUCUUGUCAAGCCCACCAAUUGUCACUCUUUUUUAUUAGCAAAGAGUAAUGUAAACGUGUGUUUGGAGACUCUUCUCUAGAGAAAUGAUCGGCUGAUUACCUCACGUCAAUCUCACAGUUAAACUUUAAUUCAUGUCAUAUCAGGUGCAAAAUUGCCACGGGAGAUGGGUGGUCCCGUUAUAUUUGUAAAUAUUGUAACUGACACAUCAUCAGAUUUCCCCAAAGGCUGAAAGAAAGCUAAUUUGUUCCCCUCAACAUCAAGUGUUAGACUGACUCCAAGAUGCACUGGAUGUGUAUCAUUCACAGAAAACCUGCCUUCUGUCUGUGUUAAUGUCAACCAGCAACAGUGAACACAACAUCUGUUAGCGCAUGUAUCAAAGUUUUGGGUCUGUUCUGUUUCUGUGUGCACCAUUCACAGAUCUCAGAUCUACACAAGUUCUCACACGUAGGGGUGGCUAUCAUUUGAUUUUUAUCAAUUCCGAUUCUGCUUAUUGAUUCUGGUUCUAAUUGAUUCCGGGGUUUCACUUCCAAUAUGGUAAACAAAAGGUCAGAUGUUUAGAUAACAAAACUAUCUUUUUUCUUUUUUGCAUUUAAUUUGACUUUUAUUGUUUCAUUAAAAUAAGUAAAUUCAAAGUCUCUUGUUAUGUGGAAUUUUCAGAAAUUACUUCUCAUUAACACCAGUGGUUGUUAAGUGAGCUGCAGUCAGCAUCCUCUUGCUCGUGCAUGUGCUCACACUCCGUUAGCACAAGUGAGCAGCAGCACUAGACUAUUGCAGGUGAUGUCUUUUUCUUUGCCCAUUUUCAUUGUCCAUCAUCCUGGGCAGCUGCCAAAACAGUGAUGUGACAUACAUGAGACUGUUAUGAUAUCAUGUUGAUAGAUGUGGAUUCCAGUGCUGAAGGCUUUGCAGCUCUACUAGAUGAAAGCAGUGACAUUGAUGCUAGAG